rnacentral:rRNA from 1 species
UACGUAGGGUGCAGGCGUUAAUCGGAAUUACUGGGCGUAAAGCGUGCGUAGGCGGUUUGUUAAGUCAGGUGUGAAAUCCCCGGGCUUAACCUGGGAACUGCGCUUGUUACUGGCAGGCUGGAGUGUGGCAGAGGGGGGUGGAAUUCCAGGUGUAGCAGUGAAAUGCGUAGAUAUCUGGAGGAACACCGAUGGCGAAGGCAGCCCCCUGGGCUAACACUGACGCUGAGGAGCGAAAGCGUGGGGAGCAAACAGG